UGGUUCAAUUGGUAGAGCAUGGUGUUUGCAACGCCAGGGUUGUGGGUUCGAUUCCCAU
rnacentral:tRNA from 1 species